UGUGGUGUUAAGGCGCRUGCCUUUGAGCUGCUCGUCUACUCGAAGUCCAACUCCGAUUAUGGCAUUGGAUUUGUUCCAUAGAGGGUGAUAGACCCGUACGAGUAKACACUGCCUGCAUGAGGGUAGCUCUUAGAUGCAYGUGCUUUGGAGUCSGAUUGCUUGAGAAUGCAKUCCAAAGUGGGUGGUAAACUCCAUCCAAGGCUAAAUACUGGCACGAGUCCGAUAGUAAACAAGUACCGUGAGGGAAAGUUGAAAAGUACUCUGAAGARAGAGUAAAUAGUACGUGAAGCCGCAUGUAGAGAAGCUGGUGGAGUCAAGCUCCAUGCUCGAGUGAUUAAUACUUGGAGAGUKGUAUUGUUUGAAGUGUCCUAAGGGCGUGCUUUCUGGAAAUGUUUUGGUGGGGGAAGCCCUGCUGCAAGCGUUCUGGUUUGUGUGCUUGCCUCGUCCURUCGGYGCUCUCUCUAAUAUUCUAUCACCGRGCAGCCACCACGGUUGAUAUCUUCUCAGUGCGUGACUGUUAAACUAUGCCCAUGUGGAUCWCUGGUCUGCUGGGCAUGGGAUGGCAGAAGAUGCCUGCGAGUAACCCUCGUGAGCAUUUACACUGGUCUCUACCAGCCAAUGGUCACGCUUUGUGCUUUACUGUUGAAGUUAUCAUGUAUGCUUUGGUGAUCGUCUCCUAAUCUCCAUUGGUAGCGGUCAUUGAGAAUCGUGGUGUUGGAGUAGAUUUUCCACCCGACCCGUCUUGAAACACGGACCAAGGAGUUUAACAUGUGUGCAAGUCAAUGGGCUUUUUCGAAACCCAGAGGCGCAAUGAAAGUGAAUGGUUGCUUCUCGUAACCUGAGGUGUGAUCCUGGUCGACCCCUGCAARGGCGNSCGGGCGCAACACCGGCCCGUCUCAGGAUGUAGUCACUUGGGCUGCUUGCAGCYGCGAGUGCAUCAUCGAGGCGGAGCAAGAGCAUACWUGUUGAGACCCGAAAGAUGGUGAACUAUGCUUGCGUAGGUCGAAGCCAGAGGAAACUCUGGUGGAGGACCGUCGCGGUUUUGACGUGCAAAUCGAUCGUCAAACGUGAGUAUAGGGGCGAAAGACUAAUCGAACCAUCUAGUAGCUGGUUCCCUCCGAAGUUUCCCUCAGGAUAGCUGGCAACCGAAUCGCUAAACAGUUUUAUCCGAUAAAGCGAAUGAUUAGAGGUAUUGGGGACUAAUUGUCCUCAACCUAUUCUCAAACUAUAAAUGGGUACGAUGCUGGACUCGCUUAAUUGGAGUCUAGCAUUGAAUGUGGUUGCCAAGUGGGCCAUUUUUGGUAAGCAGAACUGGCGCUGUGGGAUGCUCCGAACGUGCAGUUAAGGUGCCCAAUGCRGACGCUCAUGAGACACC
rnacentral:rRNA from 1 species